CCUACGGGGGGCAGCAGUGAGGAAUAUUGGUCAAUGGACGAGAGUCUGAACCAGCCAAGUAGCGUGAAGGAUGACUGCCCUAUGGGUUGUAAACUUCUUUUAUAUGGGAAUAAAAUGUUCCACGUGUGGGUUUUUGUAUGUACCAUAUGAAUAAGGAUCGGCUAACUCCGUGCCAGCAGCCGCGGUAAUACGGAGGAUCCGAGCGUUAUCCGGAUUUAUUGGGUUUAAAGGGUGCGUAGGUGGAUUGUUAAGUCAGUUGUGAAAGUUUGCGGCUCAACCGUAAAAUUGCAGUUGAAACUGGCAGUCUUGAGUACAGUAGAGGUGGGCGGAAUGCGUGGUGUAGCGGUGAAAUGCUUAGAUAUCACGAAGAACUCCGAUUGCGAAGGCAGCUCACUGGACUGCAACUGACACUGAGGCUCGAAAGUGUGGGUAUCAAACAGGAUUAGAUACCCCAGUAGUC
rnacentral:rRNA from 1 species